GACGAGCGCUGGCGGCGUGCUUAACACAUGCAAGUCGAACGGAAAGGCCUGCUUUCCCUUGUGGAUUGCGGGUACUCGAGUGGCGAACGGGUGAGUAACACGUGAGUGAUCUGCCCCCAACUUGGGUAUAAGCCUGGGAAACUGGGUCUAAUUCCCGAUAGGACUGCAGGGUGGUGCCUGUGGUGGAAAACGAUUUUCUAGUGGUUGGGGAUGAGCUCGCGGCCUACCAGCUUGUUGGUGGGGUAAUGGCCUACCAAGGCGGCGACGGGUAGCCGGCCUGAGAGGGUGGACGGCCACAUUGGGACUGAGAUACGGCCCAGACUCCUACGGGAGGCAGCAGUGGGGAAUAUUGCACAAUGGGCGGAAGCCUGAUGCAGCGACGCCGCGUGGGGGAUGACGGCCUUCGGGUUGUAAACUCCUUUCGACCGCGAGGAAGCCACCUGGUUGGAAGGGUGGUGACGGUAGUGGUAGAAGAAGCACCGGCUAACUACGUG
rnacentral:rRNA from 1 species